rnacentral:lncRNA from 1 species
GGACAGUGUGAUCCUAGUCCAGUGCAGGAUCCUAUUUCAGUCCGGAAGCAGGCAUCAUCCCUGGUUUCAUGAAGAACCACACAACCCAGAAGCAGGAGUCCCCAUUUCCCCCAGGAAUGUUCCGAGAACCCUGAAGCAUCCCCAAGGAUCUAGUGCUGUCGACUCCACUCCAAAGCCCAACUUGUGCCUUCCAAAGAUCACACGGGAAAGAAAAAGAAAGAGAGGCAAUUUCUUUGAGGAGGAAAAGAAGUUGAGUUUGGCAAUAAGAAAAAGGUAAGGGGGAGGAGGCGAAGAAAUCUUGUGAGUCAGAAACACAAAGGAGUUUAAGUGGAAACCUCCCACGAUGGCCUUAUCAUUUAUCAGACCGAGUCACAGCACCAGAUUAUGAUGAAGAUGAGAUGGUACCUGAGAUAGACAGAUCUCACCUGAGAUGGGAUCUCACUUGAGUUUGCAUUGUGUUCUCAGCUCCUGUAUCUUCACAUGAGGGGAUUUCAAGCAGGUGCAAGACUUAGUAAAAGUAUAGCAAAGUUUAUUAGAAGAAAAAGAAGGGGCAGGGGUACAUCCUCAAGGUGUUCACUUCUUUGUGAGCUCAGUUUUAUUGGGAUGGGAGAGAAGGUUUCUGGAGAAUUCCACGCAAGCACUACCUCUUAACUUCCGACUGACAGUAGGAUGAUAUCCAAUUUUUAAGACUCUACUGCCCAAGUUUCUACCUAAAGGCAGCUCUUGGUUAUUUUGAUUUGUGUAAAGAUCACAAAGGCUCUCUUUCAACCAGGUCCAGCCUGGAUCAGGUAACAUGUUUGUUUUUGUUUUGUUUUGUUUGUUUGUUGUUGUUGUUACCAAUGGAGGAGUUUUUGGACUCAACUCUUAAGAAGGAGGAGCAACCCUAAAAACCACAAGCUUGUUAGUCAAGAGUUGUAGCAUAACCGUUAUCUUCCUAAGCCUGAGUUGGAAUGGCCUUAUGUGAAUUGCUUCAAAGGCUGAGAGCACAUAGCUCAGUCUAUAGAAUUAACUCUCUAAACUCCAUGUUUCCUCCAGGAUGUCCACCUGCUACCUCAGCAAACCCCCAAAUCAUAGCAUACAAAGAGUUAUGCUACAGAUGUUAUGCAUACAGAAUUAGCCACGGCUGCUACAAAACAAGCUUAGGGAACACUAUGCAAAAUUAUUCUUGGGAGCUCACAGUUAGCCCCAACCUUUCAAGAUAUGGGCUCAAAACAGAAAAUAAUUUUGUUCUGGGUUGGGGUUGUUGCUCAGUAGUAGAGGGCUUGCCUAGCCUGUAAUGGGCCCUAGCCCUGCAAGAAGGGGAAGGGGAAGGGGAAAGUAAAUAGAAAAGUUCAUCUUGUGCUUUUGUUGGAAAAGUAAAUAGAAAAGUUCAUCUUGUGCUUUUGUUGGUUUAGUAUGUAUGUACGCCUGUAUUAUAAAGGUAUGGGAUUUGAUUUUCUUAAGUAGGCACAUUGCAAAGCCUAGUGAACAGGUUUAUAAGGGGUUUGGAUAGACAGCAUUAAGUGACUUGGCAUUCUGAGAGAUGACAAAAGAAGAAAAAUUUUAAAACCUAAAGGUAAUGAGACUGGGGUUGUAGCUCAGAGGUGGAGGGCUCGCCUGGUUUGCACGAAGUCCUGGAUGCAAUCCCCAGCCCUGCUAAAUAAAUAAAUCUAGUAUACAUUUUACUCCAUCAUACAUCUAUCUUUGUUCCAAUUUAUAAAACAUUACAAUUACUUUCUGAUAAAAUCGCUUAAUUCUCUUCCAAAAGCAGAAUCCAGCCUGUUGAGAAUCCAGGAAGCCUGCUCAUGGGUCUUGCAGCGUCUUACCGCGAGCAUUCACCACCAGAUGGCAGCAUCGGCCCACCGAUGCUACAACCAGCCACGUCGGGACAAACAGGUUGAGGAUAAGGGGCUAAUUCCAAGAGCAUCUCCCGAUGAGCGCCAGCCCUUUGCACCCUCCAGAAGUACACACGCUUCUGCCUUCAUCACUGAGAGGCCCUGUUACCUAUAUAUAGGUAUUGCACGUGUGUGUGUGUGUGUGUGACGCGUUCAAUCCAGGACUUCUUGCAUGCUAGGCAAGAGCUCUCCUGCUGAGCUACCCCAGUGCCAGAUGUGGCUCUUUUAAACCCCACCUUACACAAGACCCCUGCACUACCAACUCUGAAGAUUCAGAGGGAUCUUGCCUUCGUUCCUUAUUUCCUACGUUAAACACAAGUCACUAGGGAUGUUGCUCAUUAAAUUACAGGUUGGGUGGCAGGAUCUACCCACGUCCACUGCAAUGCGCUGGCAAAGUUGUACCCCACACAUCCAGGACCUGGAGGAAACUACAAAGAGGGCAGAGCAGGUGCUGGCAGGGCCAGGAGCUGCGACGGAAAUUGACUCUUCUCCUCACUUCUUCAUUCAGUGUAGUCACUUCUCCAUUCUCAUACAACUACUAGUGGUAGAAAAGACACAUUAGUCCAAAUUUCUUUAAUUCUACACCCAUUCUUUGUCUCAGCAUUUCCUACAGUACUGGGAAAACAAGACUAUUCAGUUCUCUGAAUUCAACUGCAAUUGUUUUCCUUCUACAAAUAGGAUCCAGUCUAAUUAAAGAAGCUUGUCAAGUGCUGUGUAGAAAAUUUCCCACAAAAGACAAUCCCUAGUUAAACAGAAUGGAGUGAAAUUCUAGGCAACAUGAAGUGUCACAAGUUCUGCCCAAGAAGCCAGAUUGCCAUCAUCACAACAGCAUUUCAAAUGCCUCGCACCACCUACAUUUUUUAAAGUUUCAUGAAAAUAGCUUAUUUGUUCUUAAAAGGAUUAAUCAAUAAAAAUGAAUUGUGCAUUCUUAGUUUCAAAGAAGUCUGACCCAGAAUUCUCUCUUCAUGUAUGUUACUGAUGGCCACAGGGCUGUUAUAAUCAACAAAUUUGGAUGUGCUUAAUUUGCAUUAAGAAAAGAACAAAGUUCUAAAGGAUGGAAGUGAUCAUCUCACCCCGCUCCCCUGAUGGUGCUAGAUUCUUAUUAUGACAUUUUAAGAUACAUUUUCUGCUUAUGGGUCUGGGUUUUGUCAACCAGAGAAGAGAGGUCAGUACGACCCCGUAUUCAAGGUCAGAUACGCCCAGAGUCUUCAGCUGUGAUUCUUUUCCUCUGCUAAAAGAGAGGUGAUUAAAGGAGAGCAAGAACCUGCAGGGGAUUUUUUUCUUUCUAGCUCUAGUAGUCAGAUGUAGCCUUAGAAACAAAAACUAGCCUUAGUGCACAGGUAGUUUAUUCCACGAUAAGGAAAAGCUUUGUCCCACCAGCACUGACCCACAAUGGAAUAGGUGGAGAACAUCAAUAAAUCUUCGAUGACCUGUAAAGCUCUGUCCAGA